AGUGAACGCUGGCGGUAGGCCUAACACAUGCAAGUCGAACGGCAGCACAGUAAGAGCUUGCUCUUACGGGUGGCGAGUGGCGGACGGGUGAGGAAUACAUCGGAAUCUACUUUUUCGUGGGGGAUAACGUAGGGAAACUUACGCUAAUACCGCAUACGACCUACGGGUGAAAGCAGGGGAUCUUCGGACCUUGCGCGAUUGAAUGAGCCGAUGUCGGAUUAGCCAGUUGGCGGGGUAAAGGCCCACCAAGGCGACGAUCCGUAGCUGGUCUGAGAGGAUGAUCAACCACACUGGAACUGAGACACGGUCCAGACUCCUACGGGAGGCAGCAGUGGGGAAUAUUGGACAAUGGGCGCAAGCCUGAUCCAGCCAUACCGCGUGGGUGAAGAAGGCCUUCGGGUUGUAAAGCCCUUUUGUUGGGAAAGAAAAGCAGCAGGUUAAUACCCCGCUGUCCUGACGGUACCCAAAGAAUAAGCACCGGCUAACUUCGUG
rnacentral:rRNA from 1 species